rnacentral:rRNA from 1 species
CCUACGGGAGGCAGCAGUGGGGGAUAUUGGACAAUGGGGGGAACCCUGAUCCAGCGACGCCGCGUGAGUGAAGAAGUAUUUCGGUAUGUAAAGCUCUGUCAGCAGGGAAGAAAGCAAUGACGGUACCUGACCAAGAAGCCCCGGCUAACUACGUGCCAGCAGCCGCGGGAAUACGUAGGGGGCAAGCGUUAUCCGGAAUUACUGGGUGUAAAGGGGGCGUAGACGGCUGUGCAAGUCUGGAGUGAAAGGCGGGGGCCCAACCCCCGGACUGCUCUGGAAACUGUAUGGCUGGAGUGCAGGAGAGGUAAGCGGAAUUCCUAGUGUAGCGGUGAAAUGCGUAGAUAUUAGGAGGAACACCAGUGGCGAAGGCGGCUUACUGGACUGUAACUGACGUUGAGGCUCGAAAGCGUGGGGAGCAAACAGGAUUAGAUACCCUGGUAGUC